rnacentral:tRNA from 1 species
UGCCCGAUGGUGUAAUGGCAGCACCGGAGAUUUUGGAUCUCCUUGUCAUGGUUCGAAUCCAUGUCGGGCAGCCA